GAGAAUAAUUUUAGAUUAAUCUAGGAUUAAUGUGCUACGAGAUGGUAUAUAGAAUCCAUAAAUAUGGGAUCGUAUGACAUGAAAAUAAAUUAGUACAAGGAAAUAAAUUUAACUUAAGUAAAUAAAUAAUUAGAAUUUUAAAGAAAAAUCUAGAAGUUGUUGGAUAAAAUUUAAAAGUCAAAGACUUAUCUUCUCUCCCUCAUGAUUUUCGUCCAUGAGCAGCUCCCCUCAACCUCCAUAGCCAAAAACCUUCUUUCCCAUUUAUUUGGCUUGUUCGUCGGUAAAUUGAGGAUUUAAUCGUAUAAAACAUAGCAAAUCAAUAUAAGGCAUAGAAGCUUGUAACACGAGUCGUGCAAAAAUGAAUGGAUCUAGAAGAUAGCGAAGGGUCGAAAGGUGAAAUAGGCUUAUAUUCAUAAGCCUGCGAGGUUAGAGUUGAUAUUAUGUCAGUGGUGUUGCGCAGCUUUGCAUCUUUUGCGAGUCACUGGUGGUCAACUUGGUUUAGUAGUCGUGGCAUGUUGUAUAAUAGUUUAAUCUUUAAUCUUCCGUAGGAUAAAUGUUAAGUUUUUUAAAUGUAAUAGAUUUUAAUUGUGCUUUUAAGCUAAAAAGAAAAAGAAAAAUUUAAGCA